rnacentral:rRNA from 1 species
CGGAGGAUCCAAGCGUUAUCCGGAAUCAUUGGGUUUAAAGGGUCCGUAGGCGGGUUUAUAAGUCAGUGGUGAAAGCCCAUCGCUCAACGAUGGAACGGCCAUUGAUACUGUAGAUCUUGAAUUAUUAGGAAGUAACUAGAAUAUGUAGUGUAGCGGUGAAAUGCUUAGAGAUUACGUGGAAUACCAAUUGCGAAGGCAGGUUACUACUAAUGGAUUGACGCUGAUGGACGAAAGCGUGGGUAGCGAACAGGAUUAGAUACCCUGGUAGUCCACGCCGUAAACGAUGGAUACUAGCUGUUCGGAGCAAUCUGAGUGGCUAAGCGAAAGUGAUAAGUAUCCCACCUGGGGAGUACGUUCGCAAGAAUG